UGGGAUGUAGCCAAGCGGUAAGGCAUCAGAUUUUGAUUCUGACAUGCGUUGGUUCGAACCCAACCUUCCCAACCA
rnacentral:tRNA from 1 species